CCAUCAUUGAUUUGAGAACAACCUUAAUGACUUAGCUCUUGAAAUAUUUGUAUUUAAACAGUAAAACACAUUCCAAUUUCCAAUGGCUUAUGUUGUAAAUAAAGUCAGAAUUGGCUUCCCAAACUUUGUUUGAUCCAUAAGAAAUCAUACUUUAUAAUACACAGGCUCUGACAGCUAGGCUGUUAGCAGGAAGAAAGAGCAGUAAAGAAAAGCCCUAGCUGCCCCAGAAAAUUGAGGGGAGGGUUUUGGAUUCAGAGGUGCUCUAGUAACAGAAAUAGGGGGCAGUGCUAAAGGGAAGAUGGCAACAGCUAGCUGAAAUUUCAGGUCAUUUGAAAAUCACAUGUUAACACUUGGUAUUUCCUAUAUAAAAUACAGUCAUAUUAUUUGAAGUACAGGUUCAUCCAUUUUUGGUCUCAUCUUGCAGGACUUCCUUUUACAAUAUGUAUUAAGCAAUCGGUUUAAAUAACCAAAGCAAUGUAGCCUGUGGUCCAAUAAGCAGAGUGGUAACUGUGCUUUGUAUACACUUGGGCAGGAGAAGCAGUCAGAAUCCUUGAGUGUCUAGUAGGAUUCACUGAAACCAAUCACACUAAAAUGAAGGUUGUGUGAACUCAAGAGGAAACCUUGA
rnacentral:lncRNA from 1 species